rnacentral:rRNA from 1 species
UCAGAGGGAGGUAGAAUNCCACGUGUAGCAGUGAAAUGCGUAGAGAUGUGGAGGAAUACCGAUGGCGAAGGCAGCCUCCUGGGAUANCACUGACGUUCAUGCCCGAAAGCGUGGGUAGCAAACAGGAUUAGAUACCCUGGUAGUCCACGCCCUAAACGAUGUCGAUUAGCUGUUGGGCAGCAUGACUGCUUGGUAGCGAAGCUAACGCGUGAAAUCGACCGCCUGGGGAGUACGGUCGCAAGAUUAAAACUCAAAGGAAUUGACGGGGACCCGCACAAGCGGUGGAUGAUGUGGAUUAAUUCGAUGCAACGCGAAGAACCUUACCUGGUCUUGACAUGUACGGAACCCUCCAGAGACGGAGGGGUGCCUUCGGGAGCCGUAACACAGGUGCUGCAUGGCUGUCGUCAGCUCGUGUCGUGAGAUGUUGGGUUAAGUCCCGCAACGAGCGCAACCCUUGUCAUUAGUUGCCAUCAUUAAGUUGGGCACUCUAAUGAGACUGCCGGUGACAAGCCGGAGGAAGGUGGGGAUGACGUCAAGUCCUCAUGGCCCUUAUGACCAGGGCUUCACACGUCAUACAAUGGUCGGUACAGAGGGUAGCCAAGCCGCGAGGUGGAGCCAAUCUCACAAAACCGAUCGUAGUCCGGAUUGCACUCUGCAACUCGAGUGCAUGAAGUCGGAAUCGCUAGUAAUCGCAGGUCAGCAUACUGCGGUGAAUACGUUCCCGGGUCUUGUACACACCGCCCGUCACACCAUGGGAGUGGGGGAUACCA